rnacentral:sRNA from 1 species
GCCGGGCGUGGUGGUGCAUGCCUGUAAGCUCAGCAGCUCAGGAGGCUGAGUCAGGAGGAUCGCGAGUUCAAAGCCAGUCUCAGCAACUUAGCGAGGCACUUAGCAACUCAGUGAAACCCUGUCUCUA